rnacentral:lncRNA from 1 species
GCUCGUCCAAGCCACUCGGAUCCCUUUGUUUCAUGGGCUCUGCAGAUUAUAUUGUUUGACUGUGCCAAGUUUUCUAGGCCAUAUGCUCAUCCACAUUUUUAACAGUAGCAUAUGGGUGGAUUGUGUUGCCUUUUCAUGUGUUUUAGUGCGGAACGAAGUGCCAGAACGGCAAAGCAUAGACAUAACAAGUUUAAACCAAACCCUAGAGUCGACCUUAAUUCACCCGCCGCCCACUCCCACCUCCAUUUCUCACCUCCGGGUUUCCACUCCUGCAUAUGCGGACAAGAACAUAGUUUAUUUGGAGGUUUUAUAUACUUUAUUUCUUGUCUGUUUUUACCCCCCUUAGGGAACCUCGAAUCGGGCCUGGUAGUGAGCACCCCACGUGUAGGCCUCAUGAUUUUUGUGUUCACGUGUUAGUACUUCAGCGGAUGGGUAAAGAAUUUCAGGAGCCAAUUGCAAAUCAUGGCACCCCACAAAAAGCGAAUGAAAAGAGUACGAGGAAACAUAUUGUGAACCCUUUGCUGUAACGUACGCCUAGAUGCUAUUGAAUAUACAUGGAACCUUUCUUAAGAUUUGAGCACUUGAAAAGAGAGCACCAGUGGAAACCUAGUAAAGUUAAAAAUUGCUUCAAGUUCCAAGGCCACAUAAAGAAUUGCUUAGUCCACUACUGCAAAGCUCUUAGUGUGACAACUGACAAGUACUCAAAUGGCAUGUAAUAAAAUGGAAGAAUGGUUCAAACAUCACAUUAUUGCAGAAAAGUAAAAGGACCUUUUUGCCUAAUGGUUUCUUUAGAACUAUGCUACUUGAAAGUUUCAUAGAAUUUUUUGUGGGAACAUGUUAUAACGCUAAUGUUACCUUAGGCCAACCCGUCAAAAAUUAUUAUGCCAUUCUAGCUUUCAAAAUGAGACUUAACAUAAGAUUUUAUUUUGUGUAUAUCAUG